UACGUAGGGUGCGAGCGUUAAUCGGAAUUACUGGGCGUAAAGCGUGCGCAGGCGGCUUUGCAAGACAGAUGUGAAAUCCCCGGGCUUAACCUGGGAACUGCAUUUGUGACUGCAUGGCUGGAGUGCGGCAGAGGGGGAUGGAAUUCCACGUGUAGCGGUGAAAUGCGUAGAGAUGUGGAGGAACACCGAUGGCGAAGGCAGCCUCCUGGGCCAACACUGACGCUCAUGCACGAAAGCGUGGGGAGCAAACAGG
rnacentral:rRNA from 1 species